UGAGGAAUAUUGCGCAAUGGGGGAAACCCUGACGCAGCGACGCCGCGUGGAUGAUGAAGGCCUUCGGGUCGUAAAAUCCUGUCAGAUGGAAAGAAAUGCCCUAUGUCUAAUAUAUGUAGGGUUUGACGGUACCAUCAAAGGAAGCACCGGCUAACUCCGUG
rnacentral:rRNA from 1 species